CUCGAGACUGAGCAGAAGCAAACAGCGGGGCGCUCUCAGCCUGGGGUGACUCGGCCUCAUCCGCCAAGAGCAUUGGUUGGGCUGCCCAGUAAUUAGACAGGAAUGACAGGAAUCAGAAAGGAACAAAGGGCCACAAAACAAGCUGAUUGUAUAAAAACUGCUACCAGAAGAUGCCGGGUCAAUCCUGAUGGUGAGACGACUGCAGGGAAGUCUGUCAUCUUUAAACAAAUAAUUAUAAGGAGAUAAGAAAAUAAGGAAGGUUCCACAAAUCACUGAAACUAUGUAGGAGAACAGAAAUGGAGGCAGAACGUGAGAAAGGUCUGGCUGAGCCCUUUCCCCUUUGGGAUAGGACAGAUAGAGGAGAUGAGGAGUUUUGGGGGAAUCCAGACUCAUGCCUCAGGGCAGAUUGUCUUGUUUAUCUCCCUACCUGGAAGAACAGGCUGUGCUUUCCACUGGCAUGCGAAACAAGGGCAAACCCAAGAAAAAAACCCAGUGUGGUGCCCACUGGAUUCCUCUGGAGGUCUGUUUGUUCAUUCCACUAAAACUUAAAAGAAACAGUUAAAGCUUCAUAUGCUUCUGGCAGGCUUGGAUAGUCUUCCACACAAUGUUCCCGGUGGAUAAUAUUACAUAGUCUCCGAUUAAGAGAAAAACCAGUUGAGGAUCCUAACAAACCUACUCACAAUAAAUUCACUCAAUACACUC